CCGGAAUUGGCAGAGAUGCCUUAGUGCCUUCGGGAACUCGUGAGACAGGUGCUGCAUGGCUGUCGUCAGCUCGUGUUGUGAAAUGUUGGGUUAAGUCCCGCAACGAGCGCAACCCUUAUCCUUUGUUGCCAGCGGUUCGGCCGGGAACUCAAAGGAGACUGCCAGUGAUAAACUGGAGGAAGGGGGGGAUGACGUCAAGUCAUCAUGGCCCUUACGACCAGGGCUACACACGUGCUACAAUGGCGCAUACAAAGAGAAGCGACCUCGCGAGAGCAAGCGGACCUCAUAAAGUGCGUCGUAAUCCGGAUUGGAGUCUGCAACUCGACUCCAUGAAGUCGGAAUCGCUAGUAAUCGUGGAUCAGAAUGCCACGGUGAAUACCUUCCCGGGUCUUGGACACACCGAA
rnacentral:rRNA from 1 species